ensembl:lncRNA
AGCAUCGCUGUGCAGCUGCCCACAGAGCAUUUGCCCCCUGCCAGUGGCUUCUCCUCCUCGGUGGACAGCUACACCUCGGAUGUGGCAUCAGGCAUGAGUGAUGGCUACGAGGGGCUGUCAGCCAGCGAGCAGAGCACCAAGCUGCCACCCAAGAGAGCCUCGGGGAAGCUGCUGCGGCGCCGAGCCCGCUCCAGGCUGCGCAUCACCAACAUCUCUGACAAGAACGACCGAGUGGUGGAGUGCCAGCUGCAGACCUACAACAACAAGAUGGUGACCUUCAAGUUCGACCUGGAUGGGGACAACCCGGAGGAAAUUGCAGCUGCCAUGGUCCACAAUGAGUUCAUCCUCAAGUCAGAGAGGGAGAGUUUCAUCAGCCGCAUCCGGGACAUCAUCCACCGCGUGGAGACCCUGCUGCGCAAGGACGGCCGCGAGUGGCACCGAGCUGCCCAAGGGCCCCGAGGCUGACAGUGCUCUGGGCAGCCCUGUGGACCUGCAGCUGCAGGGGCUCUCACGCUCCAUCUCCUCCUCAUCCUCACUCAGUGACCUGAGCUGCACCAGUCCCAGCCUCUCUGUCCAGCCCCCUGUGCUGCCGCUGCUGAGCCGCUCCCCGUCAGAGACCAACCUGGCCAGUCCUGUGGAGCCUCUGGCAGCCCCAGGGCCACUGGGGUCCCCCUCAGGCCCAGCACAGACCUGGCCCCUCGUCUCCAUGGCUCCCUCCUGGCUCACGUCGUCACCAGCACCGACACCAACGCUGACCGCCCAGGGGACCCCAGGGGGGCCUGUCCCCCCAGCCCUGCCCCAAGCCCUCCUGUCCCCCCAGGCUGUCCCCACAGCCCCUGUUCCCUGUGAGCCCAGCAGCCCCCUGAGCCCCGCUGUGACCAGCACACCCUUGUCCCCCACUGCUCCCCUCUUGUCCCUGGCCAAUGUCUUCUCCCUGGCAGUGAUGACAGUGGCCCACACUGUCUCCUCCAUAGCCAGCUCAGGUGGGCACCUGUACCCAGCCCUGCUGCCACGGCCGCAGAGUCUUGCCCUGGGUGCCCCACGCUUUGUCUACCCUGACCCCACCAGCACAGACAAGCCAAUUCCACCUGGCAGUGGGACCCCAGAGUCAGUGGGAGCUGCUGUCCCCACUGCUGGGGUGCCCAUACCCUCCCUUCCCUUGGCACCAGCCCCAGCGUGCCCCCCGGGCAGCGAGGCCGUGGGGAGCCCUGUGCAGCUGCUGAGCACAUCCACACCUGGGAGUGCAGAGGGCAGCACGGUGCUGCCUGGUGCCCCCAAGCCCAGCCACUCUCUGAUCAUCUCGGAGGCACCGGCCCCCAGCGUGCCCAAGGCACAGCUCUCGCCCAUCAAUGAAGAAGCCAAGCCGCAGGUGCUGGGCCGGUUCCAGGUGGUGCCAGCCAAGGACCUGGCCAUGAGCUCCGCGGGGCCGGGCAGCAGUGACGGGGAGCAGCCCGGCACGGAGCCGGCAGCGAGCGCCUCCCGCCUCCCGCGGUGCCCGACACGAGCCACAGCUCCAGCAGCGACUCGGACGUGGCACCGGAGGCACCCAAGGCUGAGGAGGUGCCGGCCGAGGGGGGCUCUGCGCCCGCUGCGCCAGCGGGGAGCGACCCCGGGGAGGGCCCUGGGGAAGAGAGCACAGAAAACGUGCCGCAGGCCAUGCUGA